UACGGAGGGUGCAAGCGUUAAUCGGAAUUACUGGGCGUAAAGGGAGCGUAGGCGGACAUUUAAGUCAGGGGUGAAAUCCCAGAGCUCAACUCUGGAACUGCCUUUGAUACUGGGUGUCUUGAGUGUGAGAGAGGUAGUGUGGAACUCGAGUGUAGAGGUGAAAUUCGUAGAUAAUUCGGAAGAACACCAGUAGGCGAAGGCUGACAUGCUGGCUCAUUAACUGCGCUGAGGCUCGAAAGCGU
rnacentral:rRNA from 1 species